GAUAAACGCUAGCGGCAGGCUUAACACAUGCAAGUCGAGGGGCAGCAUAGAUUGUAGCAAUACAAUUGGUGGCGACCGGCGCACGGGUGCGUAACGCGUAUGCAACCUACCCGUCACAGGGGGAUAAUCCGGAGAAAUCUGGUCUAAUACCCCAUAACAUAUGGAUCGGCAUCGGUUCAUGUUGAAAUUUUCGGAGGUGACGGAUGGGCAUGCGUAGCAUUAGCUUGUUGGUGAGGUAACGGCUCAGCAAGGCGACGAUGCUUAGGGGGACUGAGAGGUUUUCCCCCCACACUGGUACUGAGACACGGACCAGACUCCUACGGGAGGCAGCAGUGAGGAAGAUUGGUCAAUGGGCGCAAGCCUGAACCAGCCAUGCCGCGUGCAGGAUGACGGCUCUAUGAGUUGUAAACUGCUUUUAUACGAGGGUAAAGUGGGUUACGUGUAACCUUUUGAAAGUAUCGUACGAAUAAGGAUCGGCUAACUCCGUGCCAGCCGCCGCAGUAA
rnacentral:rRNA from 1 species